AUGUCCCUUUUUAACAGAAAAACGGUGCAGAAGCGGCAAAGGUCUCCGCCAGGGCCAUCGUCGCCCAAAGCUUGCUCUAAGCGCACGCGUCUUAAUACUUUUGGAUGUGGGUCACUACUUCAGUCCUGUGUUAAUCAAUGCUGUGAAUUUAUGCUAUGGCAGUCUCUUAGGAGUUCAUCCUCCACCAAAAAUUCUGGUGAACUCAGGUUGAGAAGUGGGUGCUCAGGAUCAGAUCUAGAGGGCAAAAGCUGUAAAGAAAUCAUCAGACUCCUCAUCAAUAAAAAUAAAAUUCUUAAGACUCCGGUGGGUAAGGUUUUACAUCUUUCAAAGAAAUUCAACCAAAAUUCACUGGGUGUGGAGAAGGAUUCUACAUCUAACUCAAAUGGAAGGUAUGAUUUUUAUUUCACCCCAAGAAGAAAUAUUCAGAUCAACAAUCAUCCUAUUUGUCUCAAAUCUUUCAUUACCAGCUCGCAAGACACUUUCGUAACUGCUUUGACAGCGGACUCGAGCAAUGACGCUUCAUCAGUGGAAAGCGAUAGCCUUUCUGAGUCUCUCUCUGGUUCUAAUUUACCGGAAGAUGAGACCACAAAAGAAACAGAAGUGGAAGUUAAUUUUUGCAGAAAUAAGGCAACAUUUUCUAUGACAAUUAAGAAAACUGGCCACCCGACUGCAGGUAAAGGUGUCAUCAAAACCAGGGUUCAGUCCAACUUCGAAGAAGUGACAGAUUCUGAUACUUCCACAAACUCAAACAAUUCUGAGCUGCCUGCGGCUAGAAGAUGUAUUGCAGUUUCAAAAUUUUACUUAGGAUGUGUAUCUCGGGAAUCAGCUCUAUUAAAUUUAAGAAGCUCUGUUCGAUCAAAAGAGGAUACAGAAACUUCUGCACCUAGUGCUGCCUCCUUAGAAUCUUUGCCAGGAUCUCCCUCCAAGCGGGAAUCAACUCUAUUAAAUUUAAGAAGUUCUGUUCGAUCAAAAGAGGACACAGAAACUUCUGCACCUAGUGCUGCCUCCUUAGAAUCUUUGCCAGGAUCUCUCUCCAAGCAAUGUGAAAUCCCAUUUUUAACUGUCAAACAAGGAAGAUCAGAAACCCACUCAAGCAGUCUCGGAACAGUUACCAAAUUAUUUGCGUGUGAUUUUUAUAGAUUGCAAAAGACCCCCAGAAAGAAUUACUUUGAUUUUCAUGGUAAAAUAGUUCACAAAGUGGAUAUAUUUGGAACUAUUACAAAGAUUCUACCAUUGCAAGAAAGUAGAAUUGUCUACCAUAUCGAUGACGGAACUGCUUCCAUAUCCUGUAUAAUUGAUCGUACCGAGAAUCUGGCAAAGAAAAGAGAAUGCACGGCCAAGUUGGAUCUCAGCAACGCUCCAGAACUACUUCGGAAACAGCAAUCCUGCCAUGCAAAUAAAUCAAAGUCUAGGCUACUAAGUGCUGUUACUGGUAUGAGAUCAGUUCUUGAACGAAAUCUGAAAUCAGAGGUGGACGUAAAUAAAUUGAAACUUGGUGAUACUGUCCAUGGAGUUGGGGUACUUUAUGAUCAUGGAGCAGAAAAAAAUAUGUACCUGAAUAAAAUUUGGCAAGUGACUACCGAACAUGAGAUGGAGGAUAGAUUGCAUCAGAUUAUUUUCCUCUACGAAGAAGUGUAUCCCAAGCUUAUCAAGGAUUUCAAAAAUUCCCCCGCUCUUGCCAGUCUUCAACAAUCUUAACCUAAGCUUGACUCGAUGAAAACUGCCAU
rnacentral:lncRNA from 1 species